UCCACCCAAUUGUGAUGGGGUUUUUAUUCUUCUACCCCUUGUGGGCUGGGUAUUUGGGUUGGCAAUGGAGGCGAGUCAGGACCAUACAGAAUGAGAUCAAUGAGCUGAAGAAGCAAGUCAAACCUACCCCUGUUACACCUGAAGGGACACCUGUGGAAGCAGCACCGUCUCCUGUUGAAAUCAAAAUUCAGCAACUCACUGAGGAGAGGAAGGAGUUGAUAAAAGGGUCAUACAGGGACAGGCACUUCAAUGUAGGAUCAAUACUGCUAGGAUUUGGAGUUUUUGAAUCUAUUGGUGG
rnacentral:misc_RNA from 1 species